UGGGGAAUAUUGCGCAAUGGGCGAAAGCCUGACGCAGCGACGCCGCGUGGGUGAGGAAGGCCUUCGGGUUGUAAAGCCCUGUCAGGUGGAACGAAUGUGCCCCGAGCGAACAACUCGGGGAGAUGACGGUACCACCAGAGGAAGCCCCGGCAAACUACGUGCCAGCAGCCGCGGUAAUACGUAGGGGGCGAGCGUUGUUCGGAAUUACUGGGCGUAAAGAGCGCGUAGGCGGUCAAAUAAGUCGGGCGUGAAAUCCCUCAGCUUAACUGAGGUUUGGCGCUUGAAACUAUUUGACUUGAGUUUAGGAGAGGAGAGCGGAAUUCCCAGUGUAGCGGUGAAAUGCGUAGAUAUUGGGAGGAACACCGGUGGCGAAGGCGGCUCUCUGGACUAAUACUGACGCUGAGGCGCGAAAGCUAGGGGAGCAAACGGG
rnacentral:rRNA from 1 species